UUCCUGUUAGAAAGUACCGAACCCCAAGGCCGCAAUCUCACUCUCUCUAAAAUUCUCUUUCAUAACAUUGAUUCGGUUAAAUGCUCGCCGGGAAUCGUCUCCGGCAUGUUUUCCGGUUGCGUACCUCGUGAAUUGGAUCUAAUCGCUAUCCUUUCUCCGGUGGAAACGCAUCCUCCGCUUCAUCUUCGCAUCUGACCGGGCAGAGCAGUGUCAGAUUCCCACCUGCGAUCUGGAUAGCCUCUCAACUCCGUCAAUGAUCAUUUGAAGGUAUUUGGAUUAGUUGAUAGAGAAAUCCGGCGUGGGAGUGAGGGUUCGAUAAAUCUGUUGUCAGUUUGAGGCCUUAUUAUGAUAGUUUGAUUUUAUAUUGAUCAGAGGUUCGUUAAUUUUGCUGGAGUUGGAAUAGAGGAGUUUUUGUCCCUCGACCAAAUCAUAAUAAUUUUUUGUGAGAAAAUGGGUAGGGGUUUGCUGUUGGAUUGGAAAUAGUUAAACUUAAAACGGCUGCCAUUUUGGCUGUCUUAGCCGGAGUAAGUUUGACAGGAUGGGUUUUGAAGCCCAUGAAACUAAGAAAUUGAAUAUCUCUUGUUCCAAUAGGAUUAAUAAGUCCUCACCUGAUUGUGCUCAUCUGGAGGACAAUGAACAGGGUUUGGAAAUGAGGUCUGGUGGAGAGGAAGAUGGUUGCUAUAAGUUAGGAUCAAAUGAUUCUCUCCUUCCCGGUCUACAUAAUGAUGUUGCGUUGACAUGUCUAGCUCGGACUUGUAGAUCAGAUUAUGCUUCCCUGUCAUGCUUAAAUUCAAGGUUCAACUUGUUAGUUAAAAGUGGGUAUUUAUAUGAGUUGCGAAGACAUUUGGGAAUUAUUGAGCAUUGGGUUUAUAUGGUAGCUGAUCCCAGGGGUUGGGAAGCUUUCGACCCCUUUAGAAAUAAAUGGUUCCGAUUGCCUAAAAUACCAUGUGAUGACUGUUUUAACUAUGCUGAUAAGGAGUCGUUAGCUGUGGGAAGUGAGUUGCUUGUUUUUGGUCGCGAAUUGUUUGAUUUUGCUAUAUGGAAGUACAGUUUAGUUGGGCAUAAUUGGGCCAAGUGUGAUGUUAUGAACCAUCCUCGUUGUUUGUUUGCAUCUGGUAGUCUUGGAUCGAUUGCCAUUGUUGCUGGGGGAAGCGACAAGAAUGGGAAUGUACUAAAGUCUGCUGAGCUUUAUGAUUCUUCAACUGGUAGAUGGGAGAUAUUACCCAACAUGCACUCCCCACGUCGGUUAUGUUCUGGUUUCUUCAUGCAUGGAAAAUUCUAUGUGAUUGGUGGGAUGACCAGUGUCACUGACUCAUUAACUUGUGGGGAGGAGUUUGAUCUAAAGACAAGGAAGUGGAGAAAAAUAGAGGGCAUGUAUCCAAAUGUUAAUAGAGCUGCCCAGGCACCUCCACUUGUAGCAGUUGUUAGGGACCAACUGUUUGCAGUUGAGUAUCUAACCAACAUGGUAAAGAAAUAUGACAUGGAAAAGAACUCGUGGGAUGUGUUGGGAAGACUUCCCGUGAGAGCCGAUUCUUCAAAUGGUUGGGGUCUUGCAUUCAGAUCAUGUGGAGAAAGACUUCUCAUUGUGGGUGGUCAAAGGGGUCCAGAAGGUGAAGCUAUUGUUUUGAGUGCUUGGUCUCCUGGAUCAACUAUGAAGGAUGGAACCUUGGACUGGCAGGUCGUUGGGGUAAAGGAGCACUCUGGGGUCUUUGUUUACAACUGUGCCGUUAUGGGAUGUUAAAGAAUGGUGAGGUCUCUGCAUCUGACCUUGCUUUUAGGUGCUUCCUUGAAUAAUGCACUGCAUAUAAUAUUCUUCCUCCCAUCCUGUCUCUGCAUCCCUGCAAUGGUUUCUCCACUAACCUGUCUCAGGUCUUUGGUUUCCUCCUUGAAACCAAAGCUAACCAUAUUUGGUUUUCAAAGUCGGAAACUAGAGUCAUCACCGGAAAUUAGUUUUCGAUUGUGGGCAAAAAGGUGAAGAAGUUGUGAUUUCUCGUUGGUAGUAAGAAGAUGAAGAAGUAAAGCUAUGGAAGAUGAAGAAGCAGCGCAAUAGGGAAAAUGAGAAUCCACUUCCCCUAAAAAAAAAAAAAAAAGGAAAGGUAUUUUCCAGAAAAUUGGUUUUGUUUUCCCAUUGAUCGAAAAUCAAUUUUCAUUGACAAUGCUACUUUUUUUCUUUUUUUUUUUUGAAAGAAAACAAACACGCAAUUGUUACUCAUAACUCAAAAGAUUACAAAUAAAAGGCGGAGGAUCAAAAGUCCAUCCCAAUAAGAUUACAUAAAA